GUGGGGAAUAUUGCGCAAUGGGGGAAACCCUGACGCAGCGACGCCGUGUGAGGGAAGAAGGCUUUCGGGUCGUAAACCUCUGUCAGGAAGGAAGAACCUCUCAAGGCUGAACAAGCCUUGGGACUGACGGUACUUCCAGAGGAAGCACCGGCUAACUCCGUGCCAGCAGCCGCGGUAAUACGGAGGGUGCAAGCGUUAAUCGGAAUCACUGGGCGUAAAGCGCGCGUAGGCCGCUUUGUAAGUCGGACGUGAAAGCCCUCGGCUACACCGGGGAACUGCGUUCGAUACUGCGAGGCUUGAGUCCUGGAGAGGGUGGCGGAAUUCCGGGUGUAGGAGUGAAAUCCGUAGAUAUCCGGAGGAACACCGGUGGCGAAGGCGGCCACCUGGACAGGUACUGACGCUGAGGCGCGAAAGCGUGGGGAGCAAACAGGAUUAGAAACCCGUGUAGUCC
rnacentral:rRNA from 1 species